UCCUUCUCCAAUGCAUGAAAGUGAAAAGUGAAAGUGAAGUCGCUUAGUUUCAGGGUUAGAUCCUCUGAAGCUGGGAGUAGCUACUCUAACGACACCCUUGGUGAGAUAGUGAUCCCGUUUUCGCAGUUGGCAUGUCUGAAUGCAAAGACUGUUUAUAGAGCAGCGUAAUUAGUAGAUACUUCAUGGAAGUGAUUGCUGCCGGUUCAAUUAUUCUUUAAUAGAUUGGCUAGAUCAAGGCGCUGCUCGGUAAGGAGAAGCAAUCUUUCUUUUCUCCCUAUCACGGAAUCUCCACAGAACAUGCCUGUGGGCUCCUUGCCUUCUCAACCCUCCCUGCCGAACCUUGUUCUGUACUUGCCCCUCAGACUAUGAGACUCCAGCAACCCUGGAUUGCACCGGGUGUUUCUUGCCCUUGGUGUGGGACCUCAAAGGAACCGAAAUCCCAACUCUUAUCCUCAUCCCCUUGGCCAGAUCUCUUGAUUCUGGGCUUCCAAGUUCCCUCCUGCUGAGGCUUGAGUUCUUGAAGAGAACCACAAAGCUGAGACAGGACAGUCUGUGGUCUUGGACAGCCCAUGGAAUCUUGGUUUCAUCUCAUAACGAGAGUAAUAAAAGCCAUUUUUUAUCUGCCUUGCAGGGCUGUUAUGAGGAUCAAAAGAAGGAAAGUCUACCCAAGUCUAAGCUUUGUGUUAAAGCCCAGUACAAAUGUUUCCUGUUACCUAUUUCUAUAUAAUUUGGUUUUUAAUGUUACAUAGUAUCUUUAGUGACUCUCCCCAUAGCCAAUGUUGUUAUUAAUAUCUCUUUACUCAUCUGGAAUAAAAAAGGUUUAAUGCAAUAUUUUCUACCUGGAAAAGUUGUGAAUAAGGAAAAAGGGGGUCAGUGUCUUCAGCAACAGCCCGUUAAAUGCCCCUGUAAAGAGGAUGCCUGGGCCUACCCGGGUGCGCAUCUCUAAAACAGGUUCCUGCUCUGGUCACUGGCUACAGAUCUGGCUCCUGUUCAUUUGGGAACUGCUGACGUUGAAUUUUCACCAGCUUUGAUUUUCCAUCAACCUUCAUUUCUUCCUUCCUCCCUCCCUGGCUUCCCAAGCUUCUGUGCUGUUCAGACCUUUGGCACACAGGACUGCUGACA